rnacentral:rRNA from 1 species
CCCUUAGACGUUCUGGGCCGCACGCGCGCUACACUGACCAGUGCAACAAGCAUCCGUCCUUGGCCGACAGGCUCGGGCAAUCUUUGAACGCUGGUCGUGAUGGGGAUAGACUUUUGCAAUUUUUGGUCUUCAACGAGGAAUUCCUAGUAAACGCAAGUCAUCAACUUGCAUUGAUUACGUCCCAGCCCUUUGUACACACCGCCCGUCGCACCUACCGAUUGAAUGGUCCGGUGAAGCCUCCGGAUUGGCGCGCACCUCGGUGCCGCCGAGAAGUUGGCUAAACCUUACCAUUUAGAGGAAGGUGAAGUCGUAACA